rnacentral:misc_RNA from 1 species
GAUGAAGAACGCAGCGAAAUGCGAUAAGUAGUGUGAAUUGCAGAAUUCAGUGAAUCAUCGAAUCUUUGAACCCACAUUGCGCCCCUCGGUAUUCCGUGGGGCAUGCCUGUUCGAGCGUCAUUUAACCCCUCAAGCCUAGCUUGGUAUUGGGUGCUUGUCCCGCCUCUCGCGCGGCGACUCACCUCAAAGUCAUUGGCAGCCCGCAUCUCGCCGGCCGUGAGCGCAGCACAGACGCGCUCUUGGCAACGACGGAUCGGCUCUCCAAAAGCUUAUUUCAACCACUGACCUCGGAUCAGGUAGGGAUACCCGCUGAACUUAAGCAUAUCAAUAAGCGGAGGA